CUGGUGGGAAAUUCUUUGAUUAUGCCAAUAUCGCCUAGGGAUAGGGGUAGGACGGUCAAUUGUAUUUGCUUCCGAACGCAUUGCAUUAUUGGUUACUAGGGGAGGCUAGGGAUAGCAAGUCGGUAAUUAAUAAUAGGCUCUUUUCACCAAGGGAUUGGGUUAAGGGUAAAUAAGAAAGUGUGCAUGGCAAUUAGAUAAAUAAGUGAAGUAAAUAAGAAGAAUANAUAUAUGAGAGUGGAUAAGAUGAAAUUGUAAACCCCAACAACANCAUUCAUUCAUANUUUCUCAAAACCAAUUGAAUCAACUGCAUUGCAUGUUUAUUUUUGUUCUUUGCAUAUAACCACCAAAUUUAUUCUCUUCUCAAGUCUUACGCAAUUAGGUUACAUGAAAGUUAAGGCCUAAGAGUCCUUUGGGAAAACGAUACUCGGACUUACCCGUUUAUAUUACUUGAUAACGAUCUGGUACACUUGCCAGGGACUUAACAAGUUUUUUGCGCCGUUGUCGGGGACUCGUGGUUUAACUUAUCUAGUAGUGUAAACUGAUUAAUUUUGAUUUGAUUGUAUAUAUCUUUUUAUCUUUUUAUCUUUUUAUUUUUUUAUUUUUAUUUUUUUUAAAAUAUAAAAAACUGCUACUAGGGUUUGUGUUUCUUGUGCAUGCAACAGGAGACUAGACAUACUAGAAGCAAGAAAAAUACGCAACCUCUUCUUGAAGGCUUAAGCGAAGCAAGAGGGAGAAGGAGAGUCAGACGCCCAUCUAGGGAUUUGUUUCCUUCACCUGAUAGAUUACUAUCACUUUCACCAGAUAGAAGAACAGAGGAGAUGGCUAAAAGAACUCCUCCAAGACGCACUCGUGCAGACCAAUCAGAUAUGGUUGGCUCUUUCCAUUUUAGCAGCAUAGUUAUGCCUACAGAUCAAACGACCAACAUGGUGAUGAAUCCAACACUUAUACACCUGGUGCAGAGCAAACAGUUUCAUGGCCUGUCAAAUGAGAAUCCCUAUGACCAUUUGACAGCAUUUAGUGAAAUAUGCAACACAGUGAAGAUGACAGGUGUAUCAAAUGAAAGAGUAAGGCUUAAUUUGUUCCCGUUCUCAUUGGAAGGCAAUGCUAAGACGUGGCUCAAUUCCUUUCCUGAAGGAACAUUUACAACAUGGGAAGUUGUGGCUAGAACAUUUGUCAACAAAUAUUUUCCACAGUCUAAAGUUACUCAGGGAAAACUGGAGAUCUCAUCAUUCAAGCAAGGCAUGGAAGAAACUCUAAGUCAAGCAUGGGAGCGAUUCAAAGGAUUACUGAGAAAAACACCAGUUCAUAGAUUUGACAAGACAACCAUUGUUCUUGCCUACCUUGGUGGACUGAAUAUGCAGUCUAAGAUGAUGUUGGACGCCUCAGCUGGAGGUGAUAUCAAACAGAAGACUGAGGAUGAAGCCUAUGACUUGAUAGAAAGAAUGACAGCUAAUGUCAAGAAGCGUAUAGUGAAAGGGGCGUACCGACACAAUAGAGAGGAGUCUUGCACUUACCUGCAAAUGAUGCAAUGCUAGCUCAAAAUCAUCUUUUGACCCAGAAGCUAGAUACAUUGUCAAAGAUCCUUUCACAACUUCCAAAGGAGCUUCGUAAUGUCUCUCAAGAACAGCAACUAUGUGAUCUUUGUGGUGGAGACCAUAUUAAUGGUCAAUGUGCUAUACCUGAGGAGAUGCAGCAGGAAGCUAACUAUAUGGGGAACCAAUACCAAUAUAGGAAAAGGAAUUUCAACCAAGGCAAUCCUAGCCAGGGUGUGAAGAAUCAUCCAAGUAUUGGCCAACAACAGAACAACCCAUCAGGGCAACAAGGAGGCUUCAGGCAGUAGCAACCUUCUCCUUUGUGGCAGCAAAUAAAUCAAUUGACAGAGAAUGUUAGAGACUUUUCUAAUAGAUUUGACAAAUUUGUGAAAGAUUAUCAUUCUCAACAUUCAAGUGAUCAACCUACUUUUAGAUUAUUAGAGAUGCAACUUGGUCAAUUGUCAAAGAGGAUUGAAAGCACAGAGAAGAAUCAAUCUAGGGUUAAUACUGAUGUUAAUCCUAAGGAGGAAUGUCGUGUUGUUGUAGUAAGGGAGAAAAGAAAAGCAGAGGAAGAAGUAAUUGAGAUUAUGAUACGCUCGGCUCUGAGGUAGAUCAGCGACGAGCUGAAGAAACUGACACGGAUCGACGGUUGAACGGACAAUGGACGCAGCGGAAGGUCGGAAUCGGAGAAAACCUAAGGUUUAUGAUGGUUUAACCGGUGGAAAAGGCUAGGGUUCGUGUAAAAAGAGGAUUUAAUCGGUGGAAGGUCGAAAUAAUCGGAGGAAAACUAUUUGAACGGUGAAACGAGAGGUUUCACCGAUUGAAUCGAUGGAAGGAAGGAUUCGGGGUUUUGAUCGGUCAAAGAGAUGUAAGCCGGAGAAACAACCGGNGGUUCGAGAUGAUCGGAGGAAAAUAGUGAUUACCUGGUGAGGAAAGAUUGACAGAGGAAGCUCUCGAAAAGGAACCCUAGGUUCUGCAGCUUUAAGAGAGAUACGAAGAUGAUAUGUGAAUGANGCAAUAGAAAUGAAACCGUGAGAUGUGAAGAUGUGGUUUCUGAGGAUGCAGAUCUGACGAGACGCGUGGCUGCUGGCAACGUAGAUGGAAGCCACGAGUCAGAUACAGGUUGGUGGAAAGGANUUCACGUGGAGGAGUGAGAGAGAGCACAAUGGUUAAUUUGGAAAUUGGAAAAUAAUGAAGUGUNCUUUGGAAGGAGGCUAGAGGUCUUUGGACUCUCUAGCCAAUGACUUUCAAGAGAGAAUAAUUUUCUGAAUUAGAAAAGUUUAUUCUCAUUAAGCUCAAAAGUGAAAUACAAUAAGGUAGGCAUGACUAUUUAUAGGACUAAAGGUCCUACAUGCCUAACACAAUACAAAAUACAUCAAAAAUAUACUAACUAAAGAAAGUGGGCUUGGGCCCCGCGUAUCAGAUUAGUAGUGAUGAAGAAGAGGUAAGUGAGAAAGACGAGCUUGGUGAAGAAGAGAAAGAAGAAGAGGGAUUGGAAGAAGUUGAGAAAAGAAGAGAUAGUCACAAUGGGCAGAUGAGAGAAAUAUUUAGCAUGUGACUAUGGUUCCGAGAGAAGAAAGUCAUCCUCAAAUUCCUGUUUAUUCAAAGAAAAUUAAUUAUUACCUUGGAGAAGUGAUAAACCUAGAUGCGGAAGAAGAAGAACAAGAAGUACUUGUGCAGCCAAGAAAGGAACAUCAUCCACCCAAAAUGAAGGAUCCAGGAUUGUUAACUCUUCCUUGCGUGAUAAAUGAUGUGGAUAUAGGAAGAGCAAUGAUCGACUCUAGGUCUAGCAUAAAUUUAAUGUCCUUAAGUUACUUGAACAAAAUUAAAAGGUUAGUGCUAAAACCAGUCAACACUACUAUAACAAUUGCAGAUGGUUCUGUUAAGAAAACAGCUGGUAAGGUGGAGGAUGCAAUUGUUCAUAUUGAGAAGUUGGAAUUCUUGAUUGAUUUUGUAGUCGUGGAUAUGGAGAAUGAAGGAAGGAUUCCAUUAAUUUUAGGAACACCUUUUAUGAGGACUUCUGGAAUGGCAAUGCGUAUCCAUGAUGGAAUAAUAACUUUGAAAGAUCAAGAAUAUGUGUUAAUGUAUAAUUUCUCCAAAGGAAGGAAAGUGAAAAUAAAGGAGAGGGACAGACAUAAGAAGUCAAGAAGAGAAGCUGCAUCAGAGGACAACAAAAUAGGUACUAAUUCUAAUAGUUGUAAUGUUUUGCAAGUACCUAAAGAUGAGGAGGUUGACAAAGGAGGCACUAUCCACAUUGAAUAUACACCACUUCCAAUAGAAGCACAAGUGAGAUUCAAGAACAAGAAGUGGCUUGUUAUUAAGAGUCGAGAAGAUGGCAAGUUGGAAAUCAGGAAACCCUUCACAAGAGCCAUAAAGAGAGUGGAUAGAAAGCAAGUGAUGAGUUGGGUUGAUGAAGAUCCCAACCGGGAUGGAAUGAAUUGAUUAUAUCUAAAUCCCACUUUGUAUAAACAUUUGUAGUUUUAGGGUAUUUGAUUUUGUACGUAUACUUUAUUGAAUCUUUGAACACUUUUUGGGUGGUAUCUACUUAGGGAUGCUAAAUUUUUAAGUAUCUACUGAAGGAUACAAGGUAAGUACAUCUACUGAAGGGUGUUGGAAGGAUAAGCACUUACUGGAGAGUGCUAAACAGGUUUGGGUCAGGCUCGUGACGUUAAACAAGCGCUUUUCGGAGGCAACCCAGGUUCUUUGUACUUUGAAUUAGUAGUAUAGGUUACAUUUAUGUUUGAGUCUAUGCUUGGCUUGUCCACUGAUUCUAAUGAUGGUUCAAUUUUAUUGCAUGAUGAGUUACUUACUAUUGAUGAUUGACUGUGGAUGAUGAUUGAGAAUGUGUGAAUGUUGAUAUCUAGGUUGAUGGUUCACUAGCUGUGUGAACAGAUGAGUAAGUGAUUCAUGAUUGUGAUUUUGAUGCUAAGCAGGAUUCAUGUGAGAAGUGAGAACGCCUGAUUAUGUGAGGUAUUGAGCUUCAGAGUUUUAUUAUUGUGUGCACUGUUUACAGAGAAUCAUGAAUGGUAUUGACUUAAUCUUGAUAAUUGAUUGAAUUGCAUGUGUAUGUCAUAUGAUCGAGGCCAUGUUUGGAAAGCUCUUACUUAGCCAAAUUUUCACCCAAAGGAUUUUAAAUGAUAUACCUUUUUGAACCUUGACCAUAAAUAGUAUGAAGACCCUUAUUUGAAGUGAUUUACCUUGAGUUAGGGUUGAGAAUAAUUGUAUGUGAUAAAAAGAUUCAAGUUUGGGGUUAUAUGGCGAAAGUAAAAGGCAAAAGCAAAAGCAUUGAGUUCAAAAGAUGAAAAAGAAAAAUGCAUGAGAAAGGAAAAAAAAAGAAGAAAAGAGAAAAGCAUGUAAAGUGAACUCAAUGAAAAAUGUAAAAGGAAAAAGGGAAAAAGUUGGGAAUGAGUGAGAUUGGUUAAAAAGAGAGUGUGCUUGAACUCUUAAAUAAUGAUUUAAACUCUCUUAACUCAAUGAUUUUGUAUUCCAGAAAAACCAAUUUUCUUGAUAGCCCAGCCACAAUACAAGCCUUGGAAAAAGUCCUUGUGAUGACAUAUGCAUGUGAAGAUUUUGAUUGUUUGAGAUGAAUGACAAUAUUGUUUUAUGUGACAUGUGAACAGUAGAGAGUAGAGUGACCUCCUUAAACACUUGAGUGAUUGAGUGAAACACUUGCUUGGUAAGAAUUGUUAAAUCCAUGUUUACAUCUAUGUUUAGUUGAUUAAUUAUUCAUGAAUGAAACAUCUGUUGGAAAUAGAUUGAAUAUGUGAAUUAAGCUGGAUUGAAAGCAUGUAUGCAUCUCUGAUUCCACUAAAAUUUGAAUUGUAUAACAACUUGUCAUGAGGAAAAAGGAGUUUUGAAAAGUAUGAAUUAUUUGAUGAAAAAGCGGAAAGCCAAGUUUUGUCUUGUUUGCUUGAGGACAAGCAAAGUUCUAAGUUUAGGGUUGUGAUAACGGUCUAAAAACCAUUAUUUUCAAACUUAAAUUUGAUAGUAAAACACACCCUUUAUGGCUUAGAAUGAGCUUUAAAUCAAGUAAAACACUUAGUUGUGUCUUUUGAGAGUCAAAAGUUGGUUUUAGCGAUAUUAUGCUUGUUUUGAAUUGUUUUGCAGGGUUUUUAGAUGAAUUAAAGAUGGAAGUGAAGUAAGGUGGACUUAGACCCAUGAAAGAAGGAGAAAAAUGAUGAAAAGAAGGGUCAAGCAAGCCGCUGAGCGCCAUAAUGGUCCGCUGAGCGCUCAGAGCGAUUAGAGGGAAACCGCUCAGCGGCAAAAUUGACCACUGAGCGGUUAAAGCGGCAAGAGGCAAACCAUUGAGCGGUGAAUUUUGGCGCCUUGGCGGUUGUCUGUUUUAUUAGCUAGAUUCUGUAAAUCUUUCUGUAAUCUAUCUGUUAUCUUUUUGGGCUUAUAUAUAGCCCCAGUGCGAAUUAGAAGAGGAUUCUUUUGGCAGAGAGAAACGUCUAGAGCUAUUCCACACCUUGGAGGAGGUUCCUUGGAUGCUUAGGCUCCAUUCAACCAAGUUUAGGGUUAUUUCUUCCAUUCUUUCAUUAUUAUCAUCUAGUUUCACCGUGAUUAUGGCGAACUAAACCCUUUGCUGUUGGUAAUCUUUUGAAUCUCUCAUAUAUUCAAAUUCUUAUUUAUUUCAUAUGAUUGUCAUAUACUUAUUUAUCAAUUGUUGGGUUCUCAUCUGUGCUCAAUGCUUUUAUUGUUUAACUCAUUCAGUAAAAGAUGUUUGUCUUUAUCGAUAUGGGGACAUACGGUAAUGUCAUGAACUGGUGGGAAAUUCCUUGAUUAUGCCAAUAUCGCCUAGGGAUAAGGGUAGGACGGUCAAUUGUAUUUGCUUCCAAACGCAUUGCAUUAUUGGUUACUAGGGGAGGCUAGGGAUAGCAAGCCGGUAAUUAAUAAUAGGCUCUUUUCACCAAGGGAUUGGGUUAAGGGUAAAUAAGAAAGUGUGCAUGGCAAUUAGAUAAAUAAGUGAAGUAAAUAAGAAGAAUAGAUAUAUGAGAGUGGAUAAGAUGAAAUUGUAAACCCCAACAACAUCAUUCAUUCAUAUUUUCUCAAAACCAAUUGAAUCAACUGCAUUGCAUGUUUAUUUUUGUUCUUUGCAUAUAACCACCAAAUUUAUUCUCUUCUCAAGUCUUACGCAAUUAGGUUACAUGAAAGUUA
rnacentral:lncRNA from 1 species